CCUCGGCCUCCCAAAGUGCUGGGAUUACAGGCGUGAGCCACCGCGCCCGGCCAGAAUUUUUGAUUUUAGUUUUAUCAAUGAAUUAACUGUGAUUUUCUCUCCUGUUUCUAUUAUUUUUGCUAUAAUAUGCUGUUAAUUAGUCUCCAAAGAUGGCCCCUAACAAGUUUUCUCCUUGCUUUAUGCACAUAUUUCUACAUACAUCAAAAUGUGGUAGCUUAUCUUUUCUUAUUUCCCCUAAACCUUCACCCUCUGGAAUGGUCUUGUGACUGGUUUUAACCAAGGAAGGUGGGAGAAGUGAUGUUCUAAGAGUUUAAAAUCAAAGCCUUAAGAAGACUAGCAGCUUUACCUUCUUGUCUCUUGGCACCAUGCCUUGAUUUGGGAAGGAGCCCAAGGUACAUGGAGAGGAAUGUGGAGGGUACUGGGUCUUGAUCGACAGCCCCUGCUGAGCUACCAGCUGAAAGCCAGAGACAAUUGCUAGACAUUUAAGUGAAUUAUCUUGACAUACCAGCAGAGUUGAGUCCCCAAAUGACUGUAGCCACAGCUAACAUCACAUGGAACAGAACUGCCCAGUGAGUAGAAGCUCUACAUUUUGUGAGAAGUCUCCGAA
rnacentral:lncRNA from 1 species